rnacentral:misc_RNA from 1 species
UAAAUUAUCUAAUUAAACAUACAACAAAAUCCCAAUUGUACAUUUCUCAAAAAAAAUUCCAAUUGUACAUCAUCGAGCUUUUGGGUCACUGUACUUGGUAACAAAAAUAGCCAAAAAGAAGAAGAGAAAACAGAGCAUAAACAUAUGGGAAUCAUUUUCCCGGAAAAUCCAAGAAAAUCAAAUCCCACACUUGUUUUAAUGAUUAAUGAAUAUCAUAUUCGAGUUAUUUUCAUGGCGUUUCUUCAAUUCAAUCCUCUCCUUCUUCCUCCAACAUCAUCUCUUGGUAUCGACAUUCAUGGCUGCAAAAUGCCUUUUCACCUCUGUA